CCUACGGGAGGCUGCAGUGAGGAAUAUUGGUCAAUGGGCGAGAGCCUGAACCAGCCAAGUCGCGUGAGGGAGUACUGCCCUAUGGGUUGUAAACCUCUUUUGCCGGGGAGCAAAAGCCGGACGUGUCCGGCUGUGAGAGUACCCGAAGAAAAAGCAUCGGCUAACUCCGUGCCAGCAGCCGCGGUAAUACGGAGGAUGCGAGCGUUAUCCGGAUUUAUUGGGUUUAAAGGGUGCGCAGGCGGAUUUUUAAGUCAGCGGUAAAAUCGUGGGGCUCAACCCCAUCCAGCCGUUGAAACUGGGGAUCUAGAGUGUGCGAGAGGUAUGCGGAAUGCGUGGUGUAGCGGUGAAAUGCAUAGAUAUCACGCAGAACCCCGAUUGCGAAGGCAGCAUACCGGUGCACAACUGACGCUCAGGCACGAAAGCGUGGGUAUCGAACAGGAUUAGAUACCCGGGUAGUC
rnacentral:rRNA from 1 species